rnacentral:rRNA from 1 species
AGAGUUUGAUCAUGGCUCAGAGCGAACGCUGGCGGCAGUAACACAUGCAAGUCGAGCGGGUGUAGCAAUACAUCAGCGGCAGACGGGUGAGUAACGCGUGGGAACGUACCUUUUGGUUCGGAACAACCCAGGGAAACUUGGGCUAAUACCGGAUAAGCCCUUACGGGGAAAGAUUUAUCGCCGAAAGAUCGGCCCGCGUCUGAUUAGCUAGUUGGUGAGGUAAUGGCUCACCAAGGCGACGAUCAGUAGCUGGUCUGAGAGGAUGAUCAGCCACAUUGGGACUGAGACACGGCCCAAACUCCUACGGGAGGCAGCAGUGGGGAAUAUUGGACAAUGGGGGGCAACCCUGAUCCAGCCAUGCCGCGUGAGUGAUGAAAGGCCCUAGGGUUGUAAAGCUCUUUUUGUGCGGGGAAGAUAAUGACGGUACCCGCAAGAAUAAAGCCCCCGGCUAACUUCGUGCCAGCAGCCGCGGUAAUACGAAGGGGGGCUAGCGUUGCUCGGAAUCACUGGGCGUAAAGGGUGCGUAGGCGGGUCUUUAAGUCAGGGGUGAAAUCCUGGAGCUCAACUCCAGAACUGCCUUUGAUACUGAGGAUCUUGAGUCCGGGAGAGGUGAGUGGAACUGCGAGUGUAGAGGUGAAAUUCGUAGAUAUUCGCAAGAACACCAGUGGCGAAGGCGGCUCACUGGCCCGGUACUGACGCUGAGGCACGAAAGCGUGGGGACAAACAGGAUUAGAUACCCUAGUAGUCC